UCUAUAAAUUUAGUUUCAUUAUCUUCAAAUUCUUUAAUCAAAUGUGAAUAUGUUUUAAGCGUUGUAUGUACAUC
rnacentral:tRNA from 1 species